rnacentral:tRNA from 1 species
GCAUUGGUGGUUCAAUGGUAGAGUUCUAGCCUUCCAUAAUGGCAGCCUGGUUCAAUUCCAGCCAAUGGA